CAGUCUCUCCGAGAUGCUUAUAGAGGUAGAGUGUGCGUGCGUAUGUUUAUAGGGAUGAGUGUAUGUAUAUAUGUGUAUGUAUAGAUGCACGGGCGUGGCUUGCCUGGCUGCCUCCCAGCCACGCGCUGCGCUGCCGCCGGCCGUGGCGUUUCCCGGCCGGCUGGCCACGCCCGAAAACAGGUUCAGCUGAUCGAGGUUGCUAUGGAUAAGCUUGCACCACAGAUUAAUUAGCGUAUCUGGUAGCUUCGUACAGGACUACCAGAUCGAUCGAGGAUCAACCAGGCCAGCUUAUGCUUUGCUGCUACGUGCGCCUUUUGCUUAAUCCAACAGGUUCAGCUGUUCGAUGUUGAUUUGGGGUCAAAAGCACCUGCUAGCUGCGAACCGUUCACGAGCGUUCCAUGCCGAGCCAGAUCUUGCAAGUGCACCUUGCCGGAAAGUACAUGGGGCGUCGACCAUACGCAAACUGAGCGUGCGUGAGCAAGGAUGGCAUAUAGGAGAAUCAGUUCGUCUACUCCAGUUUGUCAGGAGUUCAAGACCGAAGAAUAUGGAGUAAAUAAAUAAAUCCAAUUCAUCGUGUGGAAUCAGGUUCCUUGAACUUUUAUGGAAAAUGGAGGUUGGAAUAUAUUGUGCAAAUCUGCUUAUUUAUGGUGAUUCACAUCCAAAUUGUAAAAUAAAAUUGUAAACUUGACAUUUAACAAGCAGUUUUUUGAAAGUCUUACAUAAUAAUUGUUCUUAACUCGGCUCAGGCCUCAACCGAUAGAAAGCGGUAGACCAAUCUUUAGCCUACUGAAUG